rnacentral:ncRNA from 1 species
UUGGUCGUACAAAGGAGAUAUGGUUGGCAUCUCUCUUGACAAGGAUGGGAACAGUGUUCGGACUUUCCUUUCACAAACCCACAUGGAACACAGCGCUUAUAGUGGCUCACCGGAUCGAUUCUC